rnacentral:lncRNA from 1 species
AUGCAUAUCAUCAGUGCUAUUGUUGCAUCGAUUGGUGUGCUUUUAAUUUCGCUUGAGAUUUUGGCAGUUAGUUUAACUCCAGGAGAUUUUAUUUGGGUUCAUAAAAGUGCUAAACUCCUUUCAGAGUAUUUGUUGUUAUUCAGCCUCUUGGAAUUGCUUGUGGCAAUUACAGUGACACGCUGGGCAAAACAAGCAAAAAGAAGAUAAAAAUUCAGUGAGUAUCUCACAUCUCCCUUGGUGAAUCAGAAGCUAAUGAUUUCUUUUAUGAACCCUAUUUGAUAGGAAUUACACAUAAAUAGGGUCAUCACUAAAGUGUGAUUAUAAGUAACUGAAAACACUGUACUUACUAUCACAUGCUAUGUGAGUCUCUGUACAGUUGAAGACAAUCUCUAGCUCAUGUCUGCUUAAUUCAACAGAUAAUUUCUUGGAAACAAAAAAGCUUUGUAGAAGUCAUUACCAGGUAAAAGGAUAUGGACACACAUGUUAAACCAUAAAUUUUCAAAAUUUGGGAGAAAGAAUUUUAAAAUAUCAAAAUGUAGAACUUUAGUGUCUUCAGAAACCAAGAUUUUGUAGUAACUGGGAAGUUGGAAAGAUGGCAAAAACCUUUUCCAAUCAGUUCAUUUCCUACUUCCACCACAUCUACUACCUAAUGUCUGAUGGCAAAUUUUAUCUCUAAUUUACCUCAAUGUCAAUGAAUCAGAAAGCUUUGGUGAAAGAUAUCUCUGUCCUUUCUUCCCAGUCUGGCUGCAGAGGCCCAGGUUUAUAAUCAUAAGGCUGAUGUGAAGGAGAGUGUUGUUUGUCCAUUUGUCGUGUAGCAGAUAGAACAGGCUAGAAAUGGAAAGGGCUGCUCCUUCCUCAUGUUACACUUCCUUAUCUCACAAAUCUGCCGACUUCUUACAUGGGCCUUUACAUCUUUAAGCAGAUGAUAUUCUUCCCCUUGACUUGUCCAACUUUAGCUUCUCUAUGGACAACACCAUGUAUGUCUGUCUACAGCUUAGUUAACCAUCUAUAAAUUUACAACAGUCUUAAUGCUCAGU